GAUGAACGCUGGCGGCGUGCCUAAUACAUGCGAGUCGAGCGAACGGACGAGAAGCUUGCUUCUCUGAUGUUAGCGGCGGACGGGUGAGUAACACGUGGAUAACCUACCUAUAAGACUGGGAUAACUUCGGGAAACUGGAGCUAAUACCGGAUAAUAUUUUGAACCGCAUGGUUCAAAAGUGAAAGACGGUCUUGCUGUCACUUAUAGAUGGAUCCGCGCUGCAUUAGCUAGUUGGUAAGGUAACGGCUUACCAAGGCAACGAUGCAUAGCCGACCUGAGAGGGUGAUCGGCCACACUGGAACUGAGACACGGUCCAGACUCCUACGGGAGGCAGCAGUAGGGAAUCUUCCGCAAUGGGCGAAAGCCUGACGGAGCAACGCCGCGUGAGUGAUGAAGGUCUUCGGAUCGUAAAACUCUGUUAUUAGGGAAGAACAUAUGUGUAAGUAACUGUGCACAUCUUGACGGUACCUAAUCAGAAAGCCACGGCUAACUACGUG
rnacentral:rRNA from 1 species